rnacentral:rRNA from 1 species
GACGAACGCUGGCGGCACGCUUAACACAUGCAAGUCGAACGAGAGAAGAGAAGCUUGCUUUUCUGAUCUAGUGGCGGACGGGUGAGUAACACGUGAGCAAUCUGCCUUUCAGAGGGGGAUACCGAUUGGAAACGAUCGUUAAUACCGCAUAACAUAAUUGAACCGCAUGAUUUGAUUAUCAAAGAUUUAUCGCUGAAAGAUGAGCUCGCGUCUGAUUAGCUAGUUGGUAAGGUAACGGCUUACCAAGGCGACGAUCAGUAGCCGGACUGAGAGGUUGAUCGGCCACAUUGGGACUGAGACACGGCCCAGACUCCUACGGGAGGCAGCAGUGGGGAAUAUUGCACAAUGGAGGAAACUCUGAUGCAGCGAUGCCGCGUGAGGGAAGAAGGUUUUAGGAUUGUAAACCUCUGUCUUCAGGGACGAAAAAAGACGGUAC